rnacentral:pre_miRNA from 1 species
ACGGCAUUGGCAGUGACCUUAAUAGAGAACAGUCAACUCAUUAAGGCACUUCCAAGCCGUAC